AGUCAUAUCCAACCCUCCACUUUCUGGGUAGGAAAGGGCCAAAGCAGGAGAAUCUCAUGGAGCAGGUGGAUGACAGAGCCAAGAAUCCUGACUCCAGCUGUUUGGCAGAACAUUAAUCUUCUGGAGAGUUGCGUGGCUAGAAUAUGGAGCUUUUGCCUUCCCCAAAAAUCCCUCUGAAUAUAGCGUUAUUUGGGGUAGUACUGGCUCCCUGAGAAUCUGAGGGCUAUCCUCCAGCCAGUUCUGACCAGGCCUUGUGUGAGCUGCAGUGUUUAGGCUGCCACACGAGGGCGCUAUCAUUCUUCCUUUGCCUUGGGUCAGACCAGGACAGGCUUCACUCCAUCAGGAGUCCCAGAGUUUGGAGAAUACAGAGGGUCAUCUCCUUUUCUCAGGAUAGCUAAAAGCAAAACAGAUAUGGUUUAACAGAGGCCUCAAGCUAGAAAGCAGGAGUUCUUUUAUGGGGGUUUGCUAGUAACCCUUUAGGUGCUUAGCACUCAAAGUAUGGCAUCACUUGUUAUAAAAGAAUAUUGGACUGACUCCAGAUCUUGGGUAAGUGCCCACACCAGUGCUUCUCAAACUCAGCCGGCGUUCCUGCUAAAAGGCAGAUUCUGACUGGGUAGGUCAAAAUAGGGCUCGAGAGUCUACAGAUCUAAGAAGCUCCCAGUGAUGCUGAUCUUUGACCGUAUUUUGACUUCAAAAGAACCUUGAAGGAGCCUCAGUUUCUUCAUCUGUAAGAUCAAGAUCACACCAAUUCUGUCCAUCACGUGAGAUGAUGGAUGCGGAAGCGAUCCAAGACAAACAAGAAGGAUAAAGGUAUUGUGAACAGUAGGAGUGUAACUUGCCUUCUGAAGCCCCACUAGCAGUGCAAGGAGCAGCUGACCCAGGUAUAAGCAGUCCUAGGGCUGCCAAGGAAUCUUCUUUCUUGUCCUUACCCUGCUAAGAAUCCAGACUCCUGAGGAGCAGUAUUAGCUAGGCAGCUUAAAGAGCAGAGAGACCCUGCCCGCCUCCUGGGGCGCGUGGCCACUAGCCCCUGGGUGGGCGAGGGAGUGUUGUUUCCUGCCCCUGGACUGACAUAUGAAUCCUGUUCUGCCUAGUACUAGAGGUCCUACCAUUCCUUUUGACUUGAGCCACUCCUCUUGACUCUUGGCGGGAUCCCAUUAGUAGCCCCAAAAGAGGGCUGACACGAGCUCUGUAGAGGGUAGGGAUCUCUAGUGAUGGAUAGAAAGUCCCAGGAAGCAGCUGUUUUGACUCUGAAUCGUGGGCUCUGCUGCAGAGGAGGGAAGACCAGCUUCAGGACAACUGGGGUAAAACCCUAUUUGUUUUAAAAUGGCUCAGUUUACAACUUCACCAAAAACACAGGACCACAUGAACACCUUGCUAGGGCCCUUCCUGGGGCCUAGAGGAGGCUCAAGGAGAUGCAGUCACCAACCUCCGUGAUCCAGACCAAGCCUCACCUCGAGAGCCAAGCGUAUGACCUUUGCCUUAUUUUUAAUGCUGAGAUCUCUCCAGGAGGAGCUUAGCCCUUAUUACCCUGACCUGCAGUGUAUGUGGAAGCGUGUUUUCCAACGGAGCCUGUGCAAGAGAACACCCACUUCUUCCUUUUGAAUAUUUAUUCCCCAUCCGACAUAAAUGUCCCUGCUUUCCUUUGUUCGGGGACGCCACGACUCUGGAAAUGAUUCCGCUUGGUCUCCUAUUUGCCGCAAAUACACUUCACUUUGUGAGACAACUACUUCUGGUGGAGAGUUGGAUUGAACUGGCCAGGAGGGAACCCACUUUGGUUUCGGUAACACUUCUUCUGUGGGCAGUUGUGUGAGGAGGCUCGUGAGCAGAGAUGACUGCGCAGCUGGCUUCCUGGAGUCCAUGCUGUGGGGUCCCAGAGGACCAGGUAUAACCCUACAUGCAAAUCACGCCCAAAUGUGCAAGAACUCACCUUCCUUCUCGGGCUGUAUAAAUGUGCCAAGUGUCAGGCUG
ensembl:lncRNA